rnacentral:rRNA from 1 species
GACGAACGCUGGCGGCGUGCUUAACACAUGCAAGUCGAACGGAAAGGCCCUGCUUUUGUGGGGUGCUCGAGUGGCGAACGGGUGAGUAACACGUGAGUAACCUGCCCUUGACUUUGGGAUAACUUCAGGAAACUGGGGCUAAUACCGGAUAGGAGCUCCUGCUGCAUGGUGGGGGUUGGAAAGUUUCGGCGGUUGGGGAUGGACUCGCGGCUUAUCAGCUUGUUGGUGGGGUAGUGGCUUACCAAGGCUUUGACGGGUCGCCGGCCUGAGAGGGUGACCGGCCACAUUGGGACUGAGAUACGGCCCAGACUCCUACGGGAGGCAGCAGUGGGGAAUAUUGCACAAUGGGCGGAAGCCGGAUGCAGCAACGCCGCGUGCGGGAUGACGGCCUUCGGGUUGUAAACCGCUUUCGCCUGUGACGAAGCGUGAGUGACGGUAAUGGGUAAAGAAGCACCGGCUAACUACGUG